GACAUGGCAGGAACUUACCAGAGAUGGUUUGGUGCUCGAAAGAGAACCUGCACACAGGUGCUGCAUGGCUGUCGUCAGCUCGUGUCGUGAGAUGUUGGGUUAAGUCCCGCAACGAGCGCAACCCUUGCCAUUAGUUGCUACGAAAGGGCACUCUAAUGGGACUGCCGGUGACAAACCGGAGGAAGGUGGGGAUGACGUCAAGUCCUCAUGGCCCUUAUAGGUGGGGCUACACACGUCAUACAAUGGCUGGUACAAAGGGUUGCCAACCCGCAGGGGGAGCCAAUCCCAUAAAACCAGUCGUAGUCCGGAUCGCAGUCUGCAACUCGACUGCGUGAAGUCGGAAUCGCUAGUAAUCGUGGAUCAGCAUGUCACGGUGAAUACGUUCCCGGGUCUUGUACACACCGCCCGUCACACCAUGGGAGCGGGUCCCGCCAGAAGUAGGUAGCCUAACCGGCAAGGAGGGCGCUUACCACGGCGGGGUUCGUGACGUGGGGUGAAGUCGUAACAAGGUAGGCGUAGUGCU
rnacentral:rRNA from 1 species